rnacentral:tRNA from 1 species
AAAUUGUUUAGCUGAUGGGAAAGCGCUUGUCUUGAAAAUAAGAGAUAAAGGUUCAACUCCUUUAAUAAUUUA